rnacentral:rRNA from 1 species
GGCUGAUUGUCCAGGCAAAUCCGGAUAAUCAAGGCUGAGGUGUGAUGACGAGGCACUACGGUGCUGAAGUAACAAAUGCCCUGCUUCCAGGAAAAGCCUCUAAGCAUCAGGUAACAUUAAAUCGUACCCCAAACCGACACAGGUGGUCAGGUAGAGAAUACCAAGGCGCUUGAGAGAACUCGGGUGAAGGAACUAGGCAAAAUGGUGCCGUAAGUUCGGGAGAAGGCACGCUGGUGUGUAGGUGA